rnacentral:rRNA from 1 species
UCGGGUUAUAAAACCAUUUUUGUCCGGGAAGAAAUCCUUGGGUUCUAAUACAGCCGGGGGAUGACGGUACCGGAAGAAUAAGCACCGGCAACUACGUGCCAGCAGCCGCGGUAAUACGUAGGGUGCGAGCGUUAAUCGGAAUUACUGGGCGUAAAGCGUGCGCAGGCGGUUUGCUAAGACCGAUGUGAAAUCCCCGGGCUCAACCUGGGAACUGCAUUGGUGACUGGCAGGCUAGAGUAUGGCAGAGGGGGGUAGAAUUCCACGUGUAGCAGUGAAAUGCGUAGAGAUGUGGAGGAAUACCGAUGGCGAAGGCAGCCCCCUGGGCCAAUACUGACGCUCAUGCACGAAAGCGUGGGGAGCAAACAGGAUUAGAUACCCUGGUAGUCCACGCCCUAAACGAUGUCAACUAGUUGUUGGGGAUUCAUUUCCUUAGUAACGUAGCUAACGCGUGAAGUUGACCGCCUGGGGAGUACGGUCGCAAGAUUAAAACUCAAAGGAAUUGACGGGGACCCGCACAAGCGGUGGAUGAUGUGGAUUAAUUCGAUGCAACGCGAAAAACCUUACCUACCCUUGACAUGGUCGGAAUCCUGCCG